rnacentral:rRNA from 1 species
UGGGGAAUCUUGCGCAAUGGGCGAAAGCCUGACGCAGCGACGCCGCGUGGGGGAUGACGGCCUUCGGGUUGUAAACCCCUUUCGCCACCGACGAAGCCCUUCGGGGUGACGGUAGGUGGAGAAGAAGCACCGGACAACUACGUGCCAGCAGCCGCGGUAAUACGUAGGGUGCUAGCGUUGUCCGGAAUUAUUGGGCGUAAAGAGCUCGUAGGCGGCCUGUCGCGUCCACUGUGCAAUCCCGGGGCUCAACUCCGGAACCGCAGUGGAUACGGGCAGGCUAGAGGCAGGCAGGGGAGAGUGGAAUUCCCGGUGUAGCGGUGAAAUGCGCAGAUAUCGGGAGGAACACCAGUGGCGAAGGCGGCUCUCUGGGCCUGACCUGACGCUGAGGAGCGAAAGCGUGGGGAGCAAA